rnacentral:rRNA from 1 species
UAAUACCAACACCAAGAGUCUCUAUGCGAGUUGCUGCAGUUAAAAAGUCCGUAGUCUAUACGUAAUUAAAAAUGAAUGAUCAAGUUUCAUAUUUUUACGUUUACAUAUGAGACGGAUUGGGAGCAUAGUAUAACUGGGUUAAGAAUGAAAUCUCACUACCCUAGUUGGACUAUCAGAAGCGAAAGGCUUGCUCUAAUACGUACUUUUAGAUAAAGGACGAAGGCUAAAGUAGCGAAAGGGAUUAGAUACCCCUGUAGUUCUAACAGUAACCUAUGCCGCAGAUGUUAGAUACUUUUUUAGUGUUCAGGAAAACCUUAAGUGAUCGGGCUCUGGGGAGAGUAUGCUCGCAAGUGUGAAAAUUAAACGAAAUUGACGGAGUUACACCACAAGGAGUGGAUUGU